UACGUAGGUCCCGAGCGUUGUCCGGAUUUAUUGGGCGUAAAGCGAGCGCAGGUGGUUUAAUAAGUCUGGUGUAAAAGGCAGUGGCUCAACCAUUGUAUGCAUUGGAAACUGUUAGACUUGAGUGCAGUAGAGGAGAGUGGAAUUCCAUGUGUAGCGGUGAAAUGCGUAGAUAUAUGGAGGAACACCGGUGGCGAAAGCGGCUCUCUGGACUGUAACUGACACUGAGGCUCGAAAGCGUGGGGAGCAAACAGG
rnacentral:rRNA from 1 species